GCCGGGCGUGGUGGCGCAUGCCUGUAGUCCCAGCUACUCGGGAGGCUGAGGUGGGAGGAUCGUCUGAGUCCAGGAGUUCUGGGCUGCAGUGCGCUAUGCCGAUCGGGUGUCCACACUAAGUUCAGCAUCAAUAUGGUGACCUCCCGGGAGCGGGGGACCACCAGGUUGCCUAAGGAGGGUGAACUGGCCCAGGUCGGAAACAGAGCAGGUCAAAACUCCCGUGCUGAUCAGCAGUGGGAUCGUGCCUGUGAAUAGCCACUGCACUCCAGCCUGGGCAAUAUAGUGAGACCCUGUCUCUA
rnacentral:SRP_RNA from 1 species